rnacentral:rRNA from 1 species
UACGUAGGGACCAAGCGUUGUUCGGAUUUACUGGGCGUAAAGGGCGCGUAGGCGGCUUGACAAGUCACUUGUGAAAUCUCCGGGCUUAACUCGGAACGGCCAAGUGAAACUGUCAUGCUAGAGUGCAGAAGGGGCAAUCGGAAUUCUUGGUGUAGCGGUGAAAUGCGUAGAUAUCAAGAGGAACACCUGAGGUGAAGACGGGUUGCUGGGCUGACACUGACGCUGAGGUGCGAAAGCCAGGGGAGCAAACGGG